rnacentral:rRNA from 1 species
AACUAUGUGCCAGCAGCUGCGGUAAUACAUAGGUCGCGAGCGUUAUUCGGAUUUAUUGGGCGUAAAGAAAGCGCAGGCGGAUAGAUAAGUUCUGUGUUAAAAGCAGCUGCUCAACGGCUGUUUGCGCCGAAUACUAUCUAUCUAGAAUACGGUAGAAAGUUUUGGAAUUGAAUAUGGAGCGGUGGAAUGUGUAGAUAUAUUCAAGAACACCAGAGGCGAAGGCGAAAACUUAGACCGCUAUUGACGCUUAGGCUUGAAAGUGUGGGGAGCAAAUGGGAUUAGAUACCCCAGUAGUCCACACCGUAAACGAUGGAUAUUAGAUGUUGGGGCUUGUGCCUCAGCGUUGUAGCUUACGUGUUAAAUAUCCCGCCUGGGUAGUACAUAUGCAAAUAUGAAACUCAAAGGAAUUGACGGGGACCUGAACAAGUGGUGGAACAUGUUGCUUAAUUCGAUAAUACACGAAAAACCUUACCAAGAUUUGACAUCCCCCGCAAAGCCCUAGAGAUAGGGUGGAGGAUAUCGGGGUGACAGGUGGUGCAUGGUUGUCGUCAGCUCGUGUCAUGAGAUGUUUGGUUAAGUCCCGCAACGAGCGCAACCCUACUCUCUAGUUGUCUGUUUAGAGAGACUGAACAGUAAUGUAUAGGAAGGUUGGGAUCACGUCAAAUCAUCAUGCCCCUUAUGUCUUGGGCCGCAAACGUGUUACAAUGGCGAGUACAGCGUGUCGCAAAUCAGCGAUGGUAAGCUAAUCACUAAAAACUCGUCUCAGUCCGGAUAAAAGGCUGCAAUUCGCCUUUUUGAAGUUGGAAUCACUAGUAAUCCCGUGUCAGCUAUAUCGGGGUGAAUACGUUCCCAGGUCUUGUACAC